CAACCAAAGAAGGGAUAUUUUUACAUCUCUUCUUAAAUCAAAAAAAUCCUUAAAAAUUCAUGUGGAUUAAGAAUUUAAUAUAGAUUUCAAAAAAUCAAAAAUAGUGAUAAAAUUCUCACAUAAGGAUGCUAUCCUCUCACCUCUUCACGUGAGUGCUGAUCACCAUGCGUGAAGACAUUAGGAUGAACUUGUGGCAUCCGUUUGGCAUCC
rnacentral:lncRNA from 1 species